UGGGGAAUAUUGGACAAUGGGCGCAAGCCUGAUCCAGCCAUGCCGCGUGGGUGAAGAAGGCCUUCGGGUUGUAAAGCCCUUUUGUUGGGGAAGAAAUCGUGCAGGUGAAUAUCCUGCGCGGAUGACGGUACCCAAAGAAUAAGCACCGGCUAACUUCGUGCCAGCAGCCGCGGUAAUACGAAGGGUGCAAGCGUUACUCGGAAUUACUGGGCGUAAAGCGUGCGUAGGCGGUUCGUUAAGUCCGUUGUGAAAGCCCUGGGCGCAACGGGGGGAUUGCAGGUGAGACGGGCGAGCUGGAGUACGGUAGAGGAUGGUGGAAUUCCCGGUGUAGCGGUGAAUUGCGCAGGGAUCGGGAGGAACAC
rnacentral:rRNA from 1 species